UGAGGAAUAUUGGACAAUGGGCGCAAGCCUGAUCCAGCCAUGCCGCGUGCAGGAAGACGGUCCUAUGGAUUGUAAACUGCUUUUAUUCGAGAAUAAACCCCCUGUCGUGUAUAGGGGCUGAAGGUACCGAAUGAAUAAGCACCGGCUAACUCCGUGCCAGCAGCCGCGGUAAUACGGAGGGUGCAAGCGUUAUCCGGAUUUAUUGGGCGUAAAGCGAGCGCAGGCGGUUCUUUUAGUCUGUUGUGAAAG
rnacentral:rRNA from 1 species